ACGUGGAUAGUCAAUUCAUUGAGUGACGUGGCAUCAAACAAGUUGACGCAAAGAUGCAUGCAAAUGGCAAGAAUUCAGGCUCGACUAGUUUGUGGUUACCACGGAAAUCAAAAUAUAAACAAACCACUUCAGUGCUUACUUUAUAUGCGGUCAAAUUUGCCCCCCGUCAAUGUGUAAACAAAGCAAAGGGUGAACUACGAACCGUAACGGAUUCCAACCCCCCCGUCCAAAUUAGGCAGCAAAAAUGCAAAUGAUUCUCGCCUCCUGCCUUAGCGUGCUCUCAGAGAGCCAUUUUGGUACAAACGCUGCUGCGUUUCCAUUAGGGGAAGAAAAAAAGGGAUUGAUUGGUGAGUGCCAGCGAGGGAGGCAGGCGCUGUCAAAACAGCCGAGCUGGAAUUUAGUCAGACGCGCGCGCACGACGACUCCUGCGGCAUAUUUUGACAUGGGCAGAUUCACACCAGUGUUUCGCUUUGGGAGGUCUGCAAUCAAAGAAAACAAUGACUGUAGGGGGGGGGGGGGGGAGGAGAUGGCUGCAUCACCUCAGGAUGAAAUGGAACGAAAGCCUCCGAGAAGGGGCUCAGGCGAGCGUCUCUGGCUCGUCUGCACAAAUGACCUUUCUUUAUACAAACAAGCUGCUAAGAUCUCAAGCGACACCCGCGACAAUAACAACAAACGCGAGUGCUUUCGCCCGAGCGUGUUUUCGCUGCUCCGAAAGGAAAUUUCCAAUGACGAAAUUUUGCCUGGAAUCUUGAGUUGAGUAAUGAAAACGUUUGGGUGUCCGGUGUGAGGGAGGAGCACGUUGUCUUCCUCUUUUGUCCAAAAUCUCAAAUCCCUGCUGGGCACGGAAGAGAACAAGCCCAUAAAACUACGUUGGAUUAUCAGCCAGCGCACGACGACAAACGCACGAUCUGGUUAAGGCCGUCGCCGUCACGUGGGAGGUUGCAAAGACAAAAGAAAGACAGAAUUACACAAAAAGGGGCCAACCUCCAUCGCCACGGCAAACCUUCAUCCAUCCUACCCUGAGCUCAAUGCUGAAAAACAAAAGGUAAGGAAUGUUUGGGUAAAUCACUCAAAGAUGCCCUAUCUUCAUGCUGGCUUCCACCAACUCCAAACGUGAAUCCUGUACAUUUCUAUUCCGUAUGGAUAUUUUCCUAUUUCACAUCUGGAAAUGGAGAGCGGAAGCUAAAUCCCUCGAGUCUGAAAGAAGAGGCGCAAUAGGG